GGACAUUGGUUAAGGUAGGGAAAUAUAGGCUAAGUGACUCAAAAUAAUUUAAGAACACCAACCUUAUAACUUCACAAAGCAAGUAUGGAAUAAAUUUAAUCUUCCUCCCAACUAUGCCACCAUAAUCAACAAAACUUAAGGGAUUUAAUCAUCACAAAACAAAACUAAACACUCUUUUAUGCUCUCCAUUUAUUUCCAACAAACAAAGUCGAUUUUCUAACAAAUUUAGCAAUAAACACUCGACUUCACACUUUUUCUCUUCUCUUUCUUUUUCUUUUCUUUUUCUUUCUUCUUUUUCUUUUCCUUUUUCUUGAACAACUUUUUCUUUUCUUUCCACCACUUUUCUAGACCUCAUAAGAGUAAAAAGUAACACAAAAUCAUCCCUUCUUUUUCACAACCCACUAUGAAUAUUCACCACACAAAAAAUUCCCAUAUACUACAUCAUCCCCUAUCAUCCAGCUAAAGAAUAAAAGCUAAAUAGGCUCAAAGUGGAUAACAA
rnacentral:lncRNA from 1 species